CGGACGGGUGAGUAACGCGUGAGCAAUCUGCCCAUAUCUGGGGGAUAACAGUUAGAAAUGACUGCUAAUACCGCAUAUGACCACGGGAAGGCAUCUUUCCGGGGUGAAAGAUUUAUCGGAUAUGGAUGAGCUCGCGUCCCAUUAGGUAGUUGGUGAGGUAACGGCCCACCAAGCCGACGAUGGGUAGCCGGCCUUAGAGGGUGAUCGGCCACAUUGGAACUGAGACACGGUCCAAACUCCUACGGAAGGCAGCAG
rnacentral:rRNA from 1 species